rnacentral:tRNA from 1 species
GGCUGGGUAGCUAAGUUGGUUAGAGCAUUGUCCUGAUAUGCCAAGGUUCCGGGUUCAACUCCCGUCAGGGCA